CUUUGGCUUGGCUCUCAGUGAGAGCUGAAAAGACAGGAAGAUGGGCUGUCAGUGAGCAGAGUGGCAUCAGAAGUAAUCUUGAACGAGUCCUUGAAACAGCUGCCGCCAUAAGCACAUCGUGAGCUGGGAAGUAUGAGGAUUACAGUUUAAUGACAGAAGUUACACACUUGACAUGUGCCUACAGAUGCCGCAUUAGAAC